rnacentral:rRNA from 1 species
UGUGUAGGCAAAUCCGCACACUAAUACCUUGAGCUGUGAUGGGGAGGGAAAAUUACAGUACCGAAGGUUCCGUGCUCACGCUGCCGAGAAAAGCCUCUAGCCAGGAGAAGGUGCCCGUACCGCAAACCGACACAGGUAGGCGAGAAGAGAAUUCUAAGGCGCGCGGAAGAACUCUCGUUAAGGAACUCGGCAAAAUGACCCCGUAACUUCGGGAGAAGGGGUGCCUCGGUAGGGUGAAUAGCCCGAGGGGGCCGCAGUGAAUAGGCCCAAGCGACUGUUUAGCAAAAACACAGGUCUGUGCGAAGCCGUAAGGCGAAGUAUACGGGCUGACGCCUGCCCGGUGCUGGAAGGUUAAGGGGAGCGGUUAGGGGCAACCCGAAGCUGUGAACCGAAGCCCCAGUAAACGGCGGCCGUAACUAUAACGGUCCUAAGGUAGCGAAAUUCCUUGUCAGGUAAAUUCUGACCCGCACGAAUGGCGUAACGACUUGGGCGCUGUCUCAACGAGAGAUCCGGUGAAAUUUUAGUACCUGUGAAGAUGCAGGUUACCCGCGACGUGACGGAAAGACCCCAUGGAGCUUUACUGUAGCUUGAUAUUGAACUUGGGUACGGUCUGUACAGGAUAGGUGGGAGCCUAAGAAGUUGGAGCGCAAGCUUCAAUGGAGGCGCCGUUGGGAUACCACCCUGAUCGUAUCUAGGUUCUAACCUGUCACCGUGAAUCCGGUGAAGGGACCGUGUCAGGCGGACAGUUUGACUGGGGCGGUCGCCUCCUAAAGCGUAACGGAGGCGCCCCAAGGUUCCCUCAGAAUGGUUGGAAAUCAUUCGAAGAGUGCAAAGGCAUAAGGGAGCUUGACUGCGAGACCUACAAGUCGAGCAGGGACGAAAGUCGGGCUUAGUGAUCCGGUGGUACCGAAUGGAAGGGCCAUCGCUCAACGGAUAAAAGCUACCCUGGGGAUAACAGGCUUAUCUCCCCCAAGAGUCCACAUCGACGGGGAGGUUUGGCACCUCGAUGUCGGCUCAUCGCAUCCUGGGGCUGAAGUAGGUCCCAAGGGUUGGGCUGUUCGCCCAUUAAAGCGGUACGCGAGCUGGGUUCAGAACGUCGUGAGACAGUUCGGUCCCUAUCUGUCGCGGGCGUAGGAAAUUUGAGAGGGGCUGUCCUUAGUACGAGAGGACCGGGAUGGACGCACCGCUGGUGUACCAGUUGUUCCGCCAGGAGCAUCGCUGGGUAGCCAAGUGCGGGAGGGAUAAGCGCUGAAAGCAUCUAAGCGCGAAGCCCGCCUCAAGAUGAGAUUUCCCAAUUAGUAAGACCCCUUGGAGAACACGAGGUUGAUAGGCUCGGGGUGGAAGCGCAGCAAUGCGUGCAGCUGACGAGUACUAAUCGGUCGAGGGCUUAUCCUA